UGAAGUUCCAUGCUAUACCGGCGCUGCGCCUUCGCAAGCGGUGCUGCAGCCAGGCAAGUUCGCGGUGUUGAGUCAUAAGCCUUCCUAGAAAUCGGCCUCUCAGCUCAACCAAUCUCUGGUGCCUGUAUAUAACUCCUAAUACUCGGCGUCCGGCUUCGGCAUUCCCAGACGCACUGUUCGCGCUUCGUUCAUCUCACAAGCACGCAAUGGGCCCCGUGGAUUUUCUAUUGUGUUUCGGCCUGUUAGCCGUAACGAGAGCUGCGUAUGCUUACACGCUGCUGGAGUCGACGCAAAUUGUUGAAGGAAAGUGCAUGCACU
rnacentral:lncRNA from 1 species